GUUAGAGAAAAAUGAUUGUAAAUCGUUUAAGGAUUCCUCCUCUUUCA
rnacentral:tRNA from 1 species